UCAAACUUGGUCAUUUAGAGGAAGUAAAAGUCGUAACAAGGUUUCCGUAGGUGAACCUGCGGAAGGAUCAUUACCGAGUUCGGGUCUCUAUGGCCCAUCUCUCUAACCCUUUGUCUACCUGACCUCUGUUGCUUCGGCGGACCCGUCUCCCAGGAGACCGCCGGAGGGUAGAAGCCCUCUGGCCCGCGUCCGUCGAUGGCCCUUUAUUAAAACUCUUAACGAAAUGUGUUAAUGUCUGAACAAACAUUUAAAGAUAAAAAACUUUCAACAACGGAUCUCUUGGUUCUGGCAUCGAUGAAGAACGCAGC
rnacentral:misc_RNA from 1 species